CUCUCACAACAGAAACAUCACAGCGCGCGUGUUAGCGUAUAUUCGUGGCGCACCCACUUAUCGCUCCUGAAUCGGUUCUCUUAGCCGUCGCCGCUACGUUUCUCUCACGACAGGAGAGCGACGUGCUCCCCACCCCAGCCCCCGCGUACGGGUCCACGAACGCAGCUCCCUCGCGUGUGCAUCCUACACGCUUGCACAACGAAUAGAGUAGUUAGCAGAUUAGCAAUAACUUAGGCACGGGCGCGCUGCUCGUCCUCUCUCUCUCUCUUUCUUCGUCCGCUGUGGUUGUCCUCGGCCACGCGCAUGUGUGUGCGUGUGCGUGGUGCGGCUGCCCCUUCCUGCGUUCUCUGUGUACGCUCUGCAGCGCUAGCAUCACUCGCAGCCGCCUCCGCAGUGCUCGUGGGCCCACGGAGCGAGGCGGCUGCCUCCUGCCCCGCGCGCGCGCUCGCUUUGGCGCUCACGCAGGCACGCCGGCACGUGCGGGGUGCACAAGCACGUCUCCUGUGUUCGUCCGUCACUGCACGUCUUCUUCACGAUCUACACCCCACCCCUCCCAAACCUCUCCGUCCGCCCCUCCCCUCUUUCGUGCGGCGAGGGUGCAGCGGAAGAUGAUGCGUCUUUCUCGGCUUGGCACCACGGCCGCCGCCGCCGCGUCGUCGUCGUCCCCGCUGCUUCAGCAGCUCCGUGGCGUGCGCUACGCCAACAUCCAGGAGACUCUGAAGCCCAUCCCUGGCCAAACUGCAGGCCAGAUCUCCAUCUUGAACGAGAUAUGCUGCAACCCGGAUGCGGAGGAGGAGCGGCGCAAGCCCGUCUUCCGUGCUGAGGUGAUGCCAGAUGCGGCCGCCGCGGCAGAGGAGGACAACUACCUGCACACGAUGCACAAGUGGGGCUACGACUCGCUGACGCUCUUCAAAAAGACGAACGAAGACCCUGGGCCGUGGUGGAACGCCAACGCCAGCACGCUGGCGUCUAACUGGUCGCAGGUUGGCGAUUACGCGAACGCCGGCAUGUGGUCGGGCGUGUGGCGCUACACGUACGGCAUCGGCGAGUAUAACCUGCGCCCUUACGAGCUGCGUGGACGUGCGUGGGGCCGCAAAGACCCCAAGACCGGCGCCGUCAUGAUCCGCUACGGCAAGCGCAGCACCAGCAAGCCGGUGCAGAGGCUCUGCUUCCCGCACACGAAGGAGCACGAGCAGCACCACCGUAUCAAAAACCCGGCAAACAAGGACGUGACGGAGAUCUCAGCCCUGCACGGCAAGCGCGUUCUGCGCGAGCUUCAGUACCACCUCGGUCAAGGGCUGCGCUUCUACCUGGUAGACGGCGUCUUUGGGAGCGACCCAGGCACCGCUACCCCGUACCGCAUCAUCACGGACAACCCGACGCAUGCCUACUUCGCGUCCAUGGCAGCGAUUCGCACCUUCAACUACGUGGCGCGGCAGGAGGUGACGCUUGUGAAGCGGCUGUCGCAGUCGCCGAUCGACGAGUGGGGGUGGCGCCGCCCUGGCGUGCUCAUCUACCACGCCCCCUCCUACGACUUUGAGAGCCCGCGCAUCGUCGAGGAGUUCGGCGGGCCGCGGCCGAAGGACAUGGGCCUCAGUCACAACCGCUUCAUCGCGACGGAGCCUUACAGCAUUCCCAUGAAGUGCGCCAUGGGCGGCGAGCCCAGCUGCGACGCACUCCUCGACAGCACAGCGAUGCUGUGCGGUCGCUGGGGCUUCUACGCCGACGAGAAAGGCUACCUCACCGUCCCUGGCGAGUCGAUCAUGUCGAAGGAUGGGCGCUCGCUGACGCUGGUGAUUACCGGCGACGAGGCCGACGCGGAUGCUCUGCGCACGUCUCCGCAGCUCUACGGUAGCCGGCAUCACCGCAUCGCUAACAGCGUUGUAUCCCGUGCGUGGGAUGUCGUCUCAAUGCCGGCGAGCGCCACUGGCGCAAAGCCGCUGCCUACCGACAUAGUGGAGCAGGACCUGCAGCGGGUGCAGCGCAGCUUGCCCACGCGCAUGGGCCUCCCGCAUACCCUCUCACACCGCCACCACGGCCGCCGCCACGUCAGCGAGUACGGCUUCAAGUGGCCACACAACUACACGGAAGAUGUUGCCACGAAGGCGUACGCCGGUGGGCAUCUGUUCAAGGCGCCGAAGACCGACAAGCUCGCCGGCCAUCAGCCGCGUCCUUCGAGGUUUUUGAUGAAGGAUGUCGAUGUGGUGGUCAUUGGCGAGGGAGCCGACGCCGCCGCUGCUAUUGUAAGCACGCUCAAGGACCGCGGCAUGCUGUACGCCGAAGAGGCGCCGCUGAAGGAGGCGAUGAGGACGGCGCUGAAGGCGGCAAAAAGUGUAAAAGUGGUUCCCUGUGCAAGCUCAAAGGCCGUGCUAGGGAAGCUGACGCAUGCGUAGCGGUACGUGCAGCACCACCCCUAGCCUCCCUUUCCUUAUCGGAGGUGAAGAAGACGAGAGGCGGGAAGUGGGACGAGUGAGCUCCAGCACCGUCUUGCGUGCUCGCUGAUGCACCCCCGCAUGCACGCACACACACACACACGCAUACAGAGGGGGCGCCGCUUCCCUCCCUGCGGCUGCUGUCCUUCUCUCUCUUUGAGGGAGUGCGAGGGAGAGCAGGGCUCGCACGUGGAAGCCGUCGCUUGGCAGCCGCCUGUGCCCGUGUGCACAUCAUGCCGCGGGCGUGACGCUUCUCUUUCCUUUGUUUUUUUCUCUCGGCUUUCUCUGUACAUGUGUAUCUGCCAACUCGUAUUUACCACGUUGUGCAUGGACGUGCAUCAC
rnacentral:misc_RNA from 1 species